rnacentral:rRNA from 1 species
GAUGAACGCUGGCGGCGUGCCUAAUACAUGCAAGUCGAGCGAACAGACGAGGAGCUUGCUCCUCUGACGUUAGCGGCGGACGGGUGAGUAACACGUGGAUAACCUACCUAUAAGACUGGGAUAACUUCGGGAAACCGGAGCUAAUACCGGAUAAUAUAUUGAACCGCAUGGUUCAAUAGUGAAAGACGGUUUUGCUGUCACUUAUAGAUGGAUCCGCGCCGCAUUAGCUAGUUGGUAAGGUAACGGCUUACCAAGGCAACGAUGCGUAGCCGACCUGAGAGGGUGAUCGGCCACACUGGAACUGAGACAGGGUCCAGACUCCUACGGGAGGCAGCAGUAGGGAAUCGUCCGCAAUGGGCGAAAGCCUGACGGAGCAACGCCGCGUGAGUGAUGAAGGUCUUCGGAUCGUAAAACUCUGUUAUUAGGGAAGAACAAAUGUGUAAGUAACUAUGCACGUCUUGACGGUACCUAAUCAGAAAGCCACGGCUAACUACGUG